CAUUAGAUGGCAGUGCAGCCUUAUGUUGUACUGGUGCUACAACAUAUGCGCUCGUGGUUCCUGAGGCCACAAUUCAUUCAUUCUUGAAACAGGGCAAAUUUGAGAUUCAGACCUCCAAGGCUCCAAGCUACAUUGCUUUAUUGGAGGCGGCCACUCCGGAUGAUCCCAAUGAGGAGCCGACUGCUCCUCAAGGCUCUUCUUUAUUUUAAACAUCUUGGCAUAUAUGGCUUCUCUAUUUUAGGAGCAGCUGAAGGUCCCACGUGCUCCUCAAAAGAAAUUAACUCAUCUCCAGAUAAUCAUCAGAGUCCAACUAAGCGGCUAAUAGAACAGAACAGGACGUGAAAGCAAACAGCCCUUCAAACCCACAGGCCUGUACAUCAAAGGAGUGGUCAACUCCUGAGCACAGUCAGCAGAGCAGCUGCUUUGCCUCUGGGAACAUGCGGGAGAUAGGAGGCUUCCUCCUUAACCCUACUGCAGAGGACUUCUCCUCUUUUACCAGCAGCCUCCUGCAGUACCCUCCCGGGUAAUGGAGCAGGGGUCGCUUCCCUUCCCAUGAGACCUUUGUUCAGGCACUCAAGUGGAAGGUUGAGCAAUAAGCCAACUUUCUUGCUCAGAGGCUCCGCAGACUUCCUGUGGUUGUUUGUUCCACUCUGUGGUCAGUGGAGCAAGCUCACCGCCUGAUUCUCUUAUUGUUGGACUAAGCACAAGCUAUUAUACUUAUGAUUCAUAAUCAUAUUAGUAAAGCACUAUUCUAAA